rnacentral:tRNA from 1 species
GAGGAUAUAGCUCAGUGGUAGAGUUCACGCUUAGCAUGCAUGAGGUCCUGGGUUCAAUCCCCAGAACCUCC